AUAUAUGGUAGGAGAGCGUUCUGUAAGCCUGCGAAGGUGUCUUGUAAAGGAUGCUGGAGGUAUCAGAAGUGCGAAUGCUGACAUGAGUAGCGAUAAUGGGGGUGAAAAGCCUCCACGCCGUAAGCCCAAGGUUUCCUGUUCAACGUUCAUCGGAGCAGGGUGAGUCGGCCCCUAAGGCGAGGCAGAGAUGCGUAGCUGAUGGGAAGCAGGUUAAUAUUCCUGCACCGUCGUAUGAUGCGAUGGGGGGACGGAUCGCGGAAGGUUGUCCAACUGUUGGAAUAGUUGGUUUUUGGCUCAUAGAAGGCGCUUAGGCAAAUCCGGGCGCGCAAUUCAAGGGGUUGAGACGAGUGCACUUGUGCACGAAGCAAUCGGAAGUGGUUCCAAGAAAAGCCUCUAAGCUUCAGUCAUACGAGACCGUACCGCAAACCGACACAGGUGGGCGAGAUGAGUAUUCUAAGGCGCUUGAGAGAACUCGGGAGAAGGAACUCGGCAAAUUGGUACCGUAACUUCGGGAAAAGGUACGCCCCGGUAGCUUGAUUGGUUUACUCCAUGAGGGUGAAAGGGUUGCAAUAAACUGGUGGCUGCGACUGUUUAAUAAAAACACAGCACUCUGCAAACACGAAAGUGGACGUAUAGGGUGUGACGCCUGCCCGGUGCUGGAAGAUUAAAUGAUGGGGUGCAAGCUCUUGAUUGAAGUCCCAGUAAACGGCGGCCGUAACUAUAACGGUCCUAAGGUAGCGAAAUUCCUUGUCGGGUAAGUUCCGACCUGCACGAAUGGCGUAACGAUGGCCACACUGUCUCCUCCCGAGACUCAGCGAAGUUGAAAUGUUUGUGAUGAUGCAAUCUACCCGCGGCUAGACGGAAAGACCCCAUGAACCUUUACUGUAGCUUUGCAUUGGACUUUGAACCAAUCUGUGUAGGAUAGGUGGGAGGCUUUGAAGCGGGGACGCUAGUUCUCGUGGAGCCAACCUUGAAAUACCACCCUGGUUUGUUUGAGGUUCUAACCUUGGUCCGUUAUCCGGAUCGGGGACAGUGCAUGGUAGGCAGUUUGACUGGGGCGGUCUCCUCCUAAAGUGUAACGGAGGAGUUCGAAGGUACGCUAGAUACGGUCGGACAUCGUGUUGAUAGUGCAAUGGCAUAAGCGUGCUUAACUGCGAGACUGACAAGUCGAGCAGGUACGAAAGUAGGACAUAGUGAUCCGGUGGUUCUGUAUGGAAGGGCCAUCGCUCAACGGAUAAAAGGUACUCUGGGGAUAACAGGCUGAUUCCUCCCAAGAGUUCAUAUCGACGGGGGAGUUUGGCACCUCGAUGUCGGCUCAUCACAUCCUGGGGCUGUAGCCGGUCCCAAGGGUAUGGCUGUUCGCCAUUUAAAGUGGUACGUGAGCUGGGUUUAAAACGUCGUGAGACAGUUUGGUCCCUAUCUGCCGUGGGCGUUGGAAAUUUGAAGGGGGCUGCUCCUAGUACGAGAGGACCGGAGUGGACGAACCUCUGGUGUACCGGUUGUCACGCCAGUGGCAUUGCCGGGUAGCUAAGUUCGGAAGAGAUAACCGCUGAAAGCAUCUAAGCGGGAAACUUGCCUUGAGAUGAGAUUUCCCAGAGCCUUGAGCUCUUUGAAGGGUCGUUCGAGACCAGGACGUUGAUAGGCUGGGUGUGGAAGUGCAGUAAUGCAUUAAGCUAACCAGUACUAAUUGCCCGUACGGCUUGUCCC
rnacentral:rRNA from 1 species